rnacentral:rRNA from 1 species
UACAGAGACUGCAAGCGUUAUUCGGAUUCACUGGGCGUAAAGGGUGCGUAGGUGGUCGGGUAAGUCUGAUGUGAAAUCUCCAAGCUCAACUUGGAAAUGGCAUUGGAUACUAUUCGGCUAGAGGGUUUGAGGGGGGACUGGAAUACUUGGUGUAGCAGUGAAAUGCGUAGAUAUCAAGUGGAACACCAGUGGCGAAGGCGAGUCCCUGGAAAACUCCUGACACUGAGGCACGAAAGCUAGGGGAGCAAACAGG